UUCCUACGGGAGGCAGCAGUAGGGAAUCUUCCACAAUGGACGAAAGUCUGAUGGAGCAACGCCGCGUGAGUGAAGAAGGGUUUCGGCUCGUAAAGCUCUGUUGGUAGUGAAGAAAGAUAGAGGUAGUAACUGGCCUUUAUUUGACGGUAAUUACUUAGAAAGUCACGGCUAACUACGUGCCAGCAGCCGCGGUAAUACGUAGGUGGCAUGCGUUGUCCGGAUUUAUUGGGCGUAAAGCGAGUGCAGGCGGUU
rnacentral:rRNA from 1 species